UACGGAGGGUGCGAGCGUUGUUCGGAAUCACUGGGCGUAAAGGGCGCGUAGGCGGCCCGCACAAGUCUGCGGUGAAAACCCCCGGCUAACCGGGGGCCGGCCGUGGAAACUGUCGGGCUAGAGGCCGGGAGAGGGCGAGCGGAAUUCCCGGUGUAGCGGUGAAAUGCGUAGAGAUCGGGAGGAACACCGGCGGCGAAGGCGGCUGCCUGGACCGGCCCUGACGCUGAGGCGCGAAAGCCAGGGGAGCAAACGGGAUUAGAG
rnacentral:rRNA from 1 species